UGGAGAAGCAGGGCACAUGCUGAAUUACUUGAAACUUUGAUUAUUCAAGAAUUUUGCAUGUGCUCUAGCUCUCCAGC